AAGGAAACUAAGUCUCAGAGAAGUUAAAUGCCUGAUCCACAGAGGAUUCAGCCAGCAUGAGGUACAGCUCUGUUCACUCCAGAGAAAUCAUCCAUCGAGAUGUAUAUGGAGAAAAUGUAGUACCAUGACUUCUUAAAGUUGUAUAAUCCCAAAGACAGAAAAGGAACUUAUUCCUCCCACCUCCUCAGCUGGGACUUCAUCAGCUCUGCCUCAGCGUACAGAAAUCUAGAAUAUUAGAUAAGUUUUAUAUUUAUAAUUUGGCUUUAUUGAACUUGCGUUUCAGGUAGAGCUCCCAUCAUUCCUCUGAAGGAGAUAUAGAAGAACUAAUCCUAUUUUGGCAACUAGGUGAAUAGAGUGCUGGGCCUGGAGUCAGGAAGACCUGAGUUCAAAUCUGCCUUCACCCACUUAUUA